CCACAUAAGCAGGUGAAACUUCUUAGAGGAACUGGCGCCCGAAAAGGCGCACGAGAAAGAGCAAUAACAGGUCUGUGAUGCCCUAAGAUGUCCGGGGCCGCACGCGUGCUACAAUGACGAUGCUACUGAGCAUGAUUAACUUGUCCGAAAGGAUUGGUGAAACUGUUCAAUCAUCGUCGUGACUGGGAUUGGGGUUUGCAAUUGUCCCCCAUGAACCAGGAAUUCCUAGUAAGCACAAGUCAUAAGCUUGUGCUGAUUACGUCCCUGCCCUUUGUACACACCGCCCGUCGCUACUACCGAUUGAAUGGUUUAGCAAGGACAUUGGAUUGAGCCCUUGCGGUUUCGGCUGCUUGGGUUUAAGAAGAUGUCCGAACUUGAUCAUUUAGAGGAAGUAAAAGUCGUAACAAGGUUUCCGUAGGUGAACCUGCGGAAGGAUCAUUA
rnacentral:rRNA from 2 species